rnacentral:rRNA from 1 species
GGUGGGAGGUUUAGAGUUAAUACCUGAGCAAUGGCGUUCCAGCAGAAGAGUAUUGUUUACUUCGUGCCAGCAGUCAUAGCAAUUCGGAGAUGCCAGCGGUAAUCGAAAUACAUAGCGUACAGCGCACGCAGGCGAUAAAUCAAAUUGGAUAUCAAAUCGACGCGCGCCACCGGGAAAUUCUUUCGAAACAGGCCGGGGAGAGUCUCGUAGAGGCGGGAGAAUUACAAGUGUAGCGUGAAAUGAUCAUACAUAGGGAGGAACACCGUUGGGGAGGGCGUCCCCCUGAAAUAUACUUGCGUGUCAGGUGAGAAGCGUCGGGAGCAAACAGCAUUAGACACCCAGGUAGUGCACGCCGUGAAUGAUGUCGACUAGGAGGUUGUCCCCUGCGGAGGGGUGUCUGGAGUUAACGCGGUAAGUUGACCGCCUGGGGAGUACGGCCGCACGGUUAAAACUCAACUGAAUUGACGGGGGACCGCACGAGCGGGACAGCAUGGCUUUUAGUCCGCUGCAACGCGAAGAACGGAACUUAUUUUUGACAUCCAGAGAACUCUCCAGAGAUACAAUGGUUCAUUGGUGAAAUAUGAGACACAUGCAUCAUGGAAGUUAUCAACUUUCCUUAUGAAAUGAUGGGCUAAGUCCUGCAACGAGCGCAAACUUGGUCCUAACUUGAAAGCGGUCUGGCGCGGAACUGAAGGGGGCCUGCCGGUUGUAAACGCAGUGUAAGGUGGGGGGGAGGUCAAGUGCUUAUGGGCCUUACCAAUAGGCCUACCCAGCAGAAGACAGAAGGCGGCUACAUAGAGGAGAGACGUCGCGGGACCAAGGGGACCUCUUAAAC